GGAUCUGGAAGUGAGCCUUGAAAAACUCCAGCAGGAGGAAGAGCCAACAGUGAAGACAGAGCUAAUGAAUGAGUAGCUGGAAGAAAGAACUCCCACCAUGGCAAGUUUUGCCAACAAGAUGGCACAACUGAAUGUGGAAUUGGGAAGAGGAAUCCACAGCGGGCUCUCAGGAGCUAGAAGGAGCCUGCUUCAGCACACCACCAAGGGGGUCCAUGCCUGGUCCACACGGCCACCUGUUCCUCCUUCCCUCCCUGGGGGCAUGUGAAGUCCAAGGACACGCUUCAUUCCUCCUUACCAAUUAUGGUUUCAGGUGCCCAAGAAAGCACCUCCCUGUCUGCUCCCCUCCUCCACCCUCUUCUUGUCGACAAGUCAUGCUCCAGGGACGGACCAUGGUCUGUUCACCAGGGUUCUUUGGGAAGAACUUGGACAAGGUUUGCUUCAAGUUUCAUCUUUUAGUGAAUUGGAACUCUAAAACCCCAGCUGCCAGCCCAACACCUUCCUGUGUCUUGGGAUUAUGGAACUAUGAAAGGAAUUUGUUUUGCUGGAUAAUUUUGAGUAACUUGAGCUGUGUAUUGGGUGAAAAAGGGAAAAAUCUAUCAAGCAGUCCUGUGCCCUAUGGUACAGACAACAUUUGUCCAACCCAGAUGCCCCCCAAAUUGGAAUCACUGUUACCCUAAGGACAAUGGGUGGUCCAGGAAGGGGUAUGCCUAAUUUUAGAAAGCCAGACUCAUCACCGGGGUGAUCUUUAAUAGAAGCCUUUGUUGAACAAUGGUUUUUAUCCCAGAAUGUGAUCACAGCUGUUUUAUUUUAGCUAAUGCAGCAAUUCAAGCAAUUAAAUCCAUAUUCCACUGUGGCUAUUUAUUUUCACGAAGUAGUUCUCCAUGCAUUGUCAUGAAAGAAUUCUUUGAGACUUGCAAAGUCAAAACAGAAUGUAGACUUUUUUUUUUCCUUCUAAAAUAGCCACAUCUGCUUCUUCAAGUUGUCUUUUCUUUGUUGAUGUCUCAUAAGGAUGUCAACUUUUAAUCUCCAAGAACUAGGUUCCAUUGGGAGAAAUAAGAUUUAUUCUUUAGAGGCAAUAGAGUAAGUAUCAUGGUAAAUCAUAGUCCAGGAGAAAGAGGAGGACCGGUUUGUUUUAGUAGCAAAAGAACAAAUCAGGGAGCUCAUGUUGAAAUCUGAUAUUGUUACAAAAUUAAAUGAGAUGAUUAUU